GGGAGUGUCCCAACUUGGAAGAACACAUGCAGUGGAAGAAUUCUACUCUUCUGGAUACCAGUAAAGCAGUAGCGAUAGAGAAGGCACCACAGUUUUCAAAUGUCUCAGCAAUUUUCAGUACCUCUUCAGAAGACUAUCAGAAAUGCCAUAGAAAAACAGUGAUGACAGUAGCAGAUCAAAAUGUUUCUCCAAAAGCAAAGUGUGCUUCAAAUUCAGAAUCAGAUAAUGCAGCUUGUGAGAUUUUACUUGCUGAGAAAACUUGCCCUUCAACCCCUGAAAAAACAAAGAAAAAAGCAAGUAUUGAAGCAGAAUAACUACAUAAAUCAUAAUACAUUUCAUUAAUAAAGAAUAUACUUUUAACUAACA
rnacentral:lncRNA from 1 species